rnacentral:RNase_P_RNA from 1 species
AGAGUGGGUCGGGCGGUCGCUCUGCAUCGCUUCGUGCGAGGCAGGGAGGAAAGUCCGAGCAGGAAGGGGACCCCAAACGCGAGAUCUCGCGUUUGGGAGACCCAGGGCACGGUGGUGGCUAACGGCCACCGGGGGCGACCCCAGGGAAAGUGCCACAGAAAACACACGGCCGAUGGCCCUUCGGGGCACAGGCAAAGGUGAAAAGGUGCGGUAAGAGCGCACCGCGACGGCGGCGACGUCGUCGGCAGGGUAAACCCCACCGCCUGCAAGACCAAGCAGCCGGUCGACUUCGGUCGCACCUGGCCCGGGUGUGAAUGGCCUUCGGGUCGUUCGGCCGGCGGGUAGGUCGCGUCCCGUUUCGGCGGGAGAGCCGGUCGGCAACGGCCGGUCCAGAUAAAUGAUCGCCACCCGCCCUCGCGGCGGGUACAGAACUCGGCUUACAGACCCACUCUCGGA